rnacentral:lncRNA from 1 species
CACACCUUAUCUAUUCAGGAUCAAAAGCCUUUCUAAAUGACAGCAAAUCAAAAAAGAUGAGAAUAACAAAAACCCCCAAAAAAGAGAAAACCUCUUCAAGUGUGUGGUUCGAACGAAAUAGACAAAUUGCAGCUAAAAUUCCAAAAUUAUCAGAAAUAAAUAAAUAACAGGACAGCAGCGGCUCGACCGCCGCAGAGGCGCGGGCUUGCGGCAAUGACUGCCAACGCUGCUGGAUCCGCGGUAGCCGCCAUGAAUGAGACGGAGAGAUAGGGCGAGUGAGAGCAAGAGAGAGAGAGAGACAGAGAGAGAGAAUACCGAGACGUACCGUAGCGGCGCGAAGAGUAAUUACCGGCGUAUGCAGUGGCUGUCCGGGGCGGAGGUCGUCGGCGGCAACAAUAGUGUUUGGGGAUUUUAGGUGAGGAAGAAUUUGGGGAUUUAGGGAUUUUAGGGCUUCACCUCCGAGAAGAAGGGGAUGUAAGAUACCGGCGGCGGG